rnacentral:lncRNA from 1 species
ACUUUAGGGAGCUACCAUUUGAUUUUUAUGGGGGGGCUAGGAUGAAAAAUUUUGUCCUGCUUUUUUUUUUAGUUGUAAUCCCUGUCCUGCCUUUUUAUUUUUUACUCUAUUUGGUCCUGCCUUUUUUUUUUUACUAGUUUAUCCUGACUUUUUUUACACAAAUUGUCAUCCUGCCUUUUUUUUUUUACCAAGUUGCUCACCCUGCCUUUUUUUUUUACUCAAAACUCCUGUCCUGCCUAUUUUUUUCAAAUUUCAUCCUAGCCCCCCCAUAAAAAUCAAAUGGUAGCUCCCUUAUAUACACUGUGUAU